rnacentral:snRNA from 1 species
AGCUUUGCGCAGAGGCGAUAACGUGACCAAUGAGGCUCUGCCGAGGUGCGUUUAUUGCUGGUUUUUAUUUCAGUCUAAGCAGCACCCAGCUGACAGCGAAAUUACGGACGUGCUGCUAGAGUUUGUUAACU